rnacentral:misc_RNA from 1 species
GAUGAAGAACGCAGCGAAAUGCGAUAAGUAAUGUGAAUUGCAGAAUUCAGUGAAUCAUCGAAUCUUUGAACGCAUCUUGCGCCCGCCAGUAUUCUGGCGGGCAUGCCUGUUCGAGCGUCAUUUCAACCAUCAAGCCCUGCUUGCGUUGGGGUCCUGCGGCUGCCCGCAGGCCCUGAAAACCAGUGGCGGGCUCGCUAGUCACACCGAGCGCAGUAAUACAUCUCGCUUUGGGCGUGCGGCGGGUUCUUGCCGUUAAACACCCCCUUUUUACCAAGGUUGACCUCGGAUCAGGUAGGAAUACCCGCUGAACUUAAGCAUAUCAAUAAGCGGAGGA